GAUGAACGCUGGCGGCGUGCCUAAUACAUGCAAGUCGAGCGAACAGACGAGGAGCUUGCUCCUCUGACGUUAGCGGCGGACGGGUGAGUAACACGUGGAUAACCUACCUAUAAGACUGGGAUAACUUCGGGAAACCGGAGCUAAUACCGGAAAAUAUAUUGAACCGCAUGGUUCAAUAGUGAAAGACGGUUUUGCUGUCACUUAUAGAUGAAUCCGCGCCGCAUUAGCUAGUUGGUAAGGUAACGGCUUACCAAGGCAACGAUGCGUAGCCGACCUGAGAGGGUGAUCGGCCACACUGGAACUGAGACACGGUCCAGACUCCUACGGGAGGCAGCAGUAGGGAAUCUUCCGCAAUGGGCGAAAGCCUGACGGAGCAACGCCGCGUGAGUGAUGAAGGUCUUCGGAUCGUAAAACUCUGUUAUUAGGGAAGAACAAAUGUGUAAGUAACUAUGCACGUCUUGACGGUACCUAAUCAGAAAGCCACGGCUAACUACGUG
rnacentral:rRNA from 1 species